rnacentral:rRNA from 1 species
ACGCACGCUGGCGGCGUGCUUCACCCAUGCAAGUCGAACGGAAAGGCCCUGCUUUUGUGGGGUGCUCGAGUGGCGAACGGGUGAGUAACACGUGAGUAACCUGCCCUUGACUUUGGGAUAACUUCAGGAAACUGGGGCUAAUACCGGAUAGGAGCUCCUGCUGCAUGGUGGGGGUUGGAAAGUUUCGGCGGUUGGGGAUGGACUCGCGGCUUAUCAGCUUGUUGGUGGGGUAGUGGCUUACCAAGGCUUUGACGGGUAGCCGGCCUGAGAGGGUGACCGGCCACAUUGGGACUGAGAUACGGCCCAGACUCCUACGGGAGGCAGCAGUGGGGAAUAUUGCACAAUGGGCGGGAGCCUGAUGCAGCAACGCCGCGUGCGGGAUGACGGCCUUCGGGUUGUAAACCGCUUUCGCCUGUGACGAAGCGUGAGUGACGGUAAUGGGUAAAGAAGCACCGGCUAACUACGUG